rnacentral:lncRNA from 1 species
UGAGAAGUCUUUCUGUCUAUCAGUGUCUCGUGUCUGAUCUAUUAGAGAGAAAAUAUAUCAUCUGAUUCUUACCUCUUUCGAUAGUGAAUCGCUCGGCCAUUUCUACUCCAAAAAAUAUGAAAUUAGAUUUUCUCUCUUAAAUCGAUUGAUUAUUACACCACCCUCUAUUAGAUUCUUUCAAUUCUAAAUAUUCUUAAUUCAAUUUAGACCUUUGAAUUGUUAAUUUCUCAAUCUACUUUUGUCUCAACCAAAAAUCUGUCUGCGAAACCGAAGAUCUGAAAGCAACAUUUGUUGAUGAGGCCUUCAAAACUUACAUAUAUGACAACAAAUCUCAGGUUGGUAUCUCCAUCUUUUGAUAAUUCUUUUAAUCGAUUGACAAGAAUCCUGAAAACAAUAAAUGUUUUUGUUCAUCAGUUUAGGCCUUUAGGGUGUGUAAUCUAUGCAAGAGACCCAUUAUAAGAAAACAAUGUUGAUUUAUUCUUAAUAAUUAGAUUAUUAUAUAUGAUAUUUGGUUCGUAAUGAAUACGAUUGACUAUAGAAAUAGAGAGACGUUGAUGAAUAGUUUCAUCAUCACCAAUGCUAUCACUAAUAGUCUACCAAUACAAGGACAAAUAAAAACAGCAAUUCAAAUAAAAUAAAAACAGCAAAUCAAGUUUUUUCAUGCAUAGGUUUCGCCAUCACGACCACGACUCUCUUGACUAGAAGAUGAACCGUCACCGUCAUUUCCAAAACAUUUCAAGGCCAUAUCGCUCAAGAAAACAUGUAAACCUACAAACGUUUGGCGCAUCCACUUCUUCUCUUCCACGCUCAAACAUUCGGCCGGAGGAAUAUUCCACAAUAUUUUCUCCUUAUUUUCCUUUAUAAUUUUCUUCAAAAUCUUUUCCUUCUCAUUAUUUAUUUCAAGCUCCUCAACGAGAUCCAUGUACCUUUCCAUGAGGUCCUGGUUCUUCUGUCUCUUAUAAGCUUCCACCAGCGGUCUGGUAUUGAUUGUUGCGGAUGGUUCAUGUCUUAAAGGGUUUUUAAACUGGCC